GCUACCGGUUCUCAUUCGAUCACCGACGUUAAGCAACGUUGAGCCUGGUCAGUAACUAGAUGGGUGACCUCUUGGGAAUGUCAGGUGAUGUAAG